GCUCAGAAACUCAAAUGAAUUGACGGGGCCGCACAAGCGGUGGAGUAUGUGGUUAAUUCGAUGCAACGCGAAGAACCUUACCUGGUCUUGACAUCCCGGAGACCCUUAGGAAACUAGGGGGUGCUUCCAUCUGGAAGAAUCUGGAGACAGGUGCUGCAUGGCUGUCGUCAGCUCGUGUCGUGAGAUGUUGGGUUAAGUCCCGCAACGAGCGCAACCCUUGCCUUUAGUUGCCAGCAGUUCGGCUGGGCACUCUAAAGGGACUGCCGGUGUUAAACCGGAGGAAGGUGGGGAUGACGUCAAGUCCUCAUGGCCUUUAUGACCAGGGCUACACACGUACUACAAUGGCCGAUACAAAGGGCAGCGACACUGCGAGGUGAAGCCAAUCCCGUAAAAUCGGUCUCAGUCCGGAUUGGAGUCUGCAACUCGACUCCAUGAAGGUGGAAUCGCUAGUAAUCGUGGAUCAGCAUGCCACGGUGAAUACGUUCCCGGGCCUU
rnacentral:rRNA from 1 species